GAAGAAAUGUCCUCACUCCAAUCAUCAAUGUCAACCGUCAACCGCAGGCCUGCUGUCACCCCUUUCUUACUUCACCCUUCCCUCAAAUUUAACGAUGCAUCCGUUUCCUCAGGUCAGCUAUUGCAUCUUGUGACCGUAUGGAGUCACAUUUACUCUACGUUUUGGUCAUCUAUAGCUCGUCUCCUUUUGUGUUUGCUUAUACUGGGUAUUGGUACUGAUACUGAAGUGGAUUUGACGAGGUUGGAUGUUUUGCAAUUGCUGUCAUUUUAUAAGGCAGGGAAGAGCUUCAUGAAUAUCAUGAAUUCCUGCUACAAGAAAGUAAACUAAAAACAUGAGUCUGGAAAGAAUUGAUGCUGUAGUUAGGAUUGUCACCUGAACUUAAUCAUAAAGCAUUGUACAUUAAUUUGAGGAUCUGUCCUCUAUAUUUUAUGAGAAUAAUAAAGUAAGUGAAAAUACU